rnacentral:rRNA from 1 species
UACGAAGGGGGCUAGCGUUGUUCGGAAUUACUGGGCGUAAAGCGCGCGUAGGCGGAUCGCUAAGUCAGGGGGUGAAAUGCCGAGGCUCAACCUCGGAACUGCCUUUGAUACUGACGAUCUGGAGAUCGGGAGAGGUUGGUGGAAUUCCGAGUGUAGAGGUGAAAAUUCGUUAGAUAUUCGGAAGAACACCAGUGGCGAAAGGCGGCUCACUGGCCCCGGUACUGACGCUCAUGUGCGAAAGCGUGGGGAGCAAACAGG